UACGUAGGUCCCGAGCGUUGUCCGGAUUUACUGGGUGUAAAGGGCGCGUAGGCGGGAUGGCAAGUCAGAUGUGAAAUCCAGGGGCUCAACCCCUGAACUGCAUUUGAAACUGUCGUUCUUGAGUACUGGAGAGGUUGACGGAAUUCCUAGUGUAGCGGUGAAAUGCGUAGAUAUUAGGAGGAACACCAGUGGCGAAGGCGGUCAACUGGACAGCAACUGACGCUGAGGCGCGAAAGCGUGGGGAGCAAACAGG
rnacentral:rRNA from 1 species